CACAAGCAGGUGGCCAAACUGGAGAUUUUUUUUAGAGCAGUGGGGGAAUUUUGCUACCACUCCUUGGUCUUCCAUCUUCCUCCUCUUGUGGAGGGCUGAAACUGAGGUCGGGCAUCACCACCGCGAGGGCCCAGAGCAGAAGCAGGCGCUGGAGCUCUGAGCGCGGGCUCAUGCGCUGGAGCACGGCCUGAGGAGGCUUGAGGGCGCCUGACGGCCUGAGCACGGCCUGAGAGCUGGAGGCGGAGGCGGAGGCGCUGGCCCACUUGCUUUUUCCAACUCUGUGAGGAACUGGCUGAUGUCGGGGCAAAGAGAGUUCUUAUGAAGGAUCUGAUGGAAGAGACGAAGCAGUUGCUAGAGCUUGGAGGAUAUAUCCUUUUUACUAGUCUAAGAAAUCACAGCAUUUGUGCAUAUAUAUAUAAAUAUGUUCCUGCUGCUUCUUCCACCAUGUGUGUUCGUUAGAGCUUUCCUUGACUCGACGGCAGCAGGUGGCCGAACUGGAGUUUUUUUUUGAGACCCUAAUGUGGUCGGACCCUUCCACGGACCCUGCACAAGCGGGAGCUACAUGCACCGGGCUGCCCUUUAACAAUUGGGGGACUUUUGCUACCACUCCUUGGCGGUUUGAACAGAAGAGUUGCGUGGAGUUUGCAGAGAGUUGUUGCCGCUGACAAAUAUUUGCCCGGCCCAACGAGGCCAUGGUUUGCUGUGGAGGUCAAGCUUCCUGUGGGAAUGUCCAAGGCUUGCACAUGCAACGACGCUCAGCAUGUUUGUUUUUUGUUGGAUAGCUUGGCAAACAACCUUAACCAUUGUUCACCAAAGAAAGGACAGAGCCCCGUUUAUAUGAUCA